rnacentral:rRNA from 1 species
GAUGAACGCUGGCGGCGUGCCUAAUACAUGCAAGUCGAGCGAACGGACGAGAAGCUUGCUUCUCUGAUGUUAGCGGCGGACGGGUAAGUAACACGUGGAAAACCUACCUAUAAGACUGGGAUAACUUCGGGAAACCGGAGCUAAUACCGGAUAAUAUUUUGAACCGCAUGGUUCAAAAGUGAAAGACGGUCUUGCUGUCACUUAUAGAUGGAUCCGCGCUGCAUUAGCUAGUUGGUAAGGUAACGGCUUACCAAGGCAACGAUGCAUAGCCGACCUGAGAGGGUGAUCGGCCACACUGGAACUGAGACACGGUCCAGACUCCUACGGGAGGCAGCAGUAGGGAAUCUUCCGCAAUGGGCGAAAGCCUGACGGAGCAACGCCGCGUGAGUGAUGAAGGUCUUCGGAUCGUAAAACUCUGUUAUUAGGGAAGAACAUAUGUGUAAGUAACUGUGCACAUCUUGACGGUACCUAAUCAGAAAGCCACGGCUAACUACGUG